AACACCAUUAACUUCAGCAGAGUUACGCUGGAAGUGAAUUUGUCCCCAGGAGGCUUUUCGAAAUGCUCGGCUCUUUCCUUAUGAUUACCCAGAGGAGCGGAGGAGAAGGCAAGACAGAGGGCCCUUUGAUAGGAGGAAUGUGGUUCAAAGCAAAGUCUUGUUCCCGCCGUUCGUGGUGCUCCAUCUGUUCCUCAUUUGGGCUGGAGGUGGGUCAGGGCCCGCAGAGGCACGCGUGCUGUGGCUGAGGGGCAGGCAGGGGCUUUGCACAGCACAUCUGGUGCGCAGGUUAUGUUCCUUCCACGGCUGGAAAACAGCGGGAGGAAUGUUCGGAUACUUCACGCAUACUUCUGCGGAACUGCUUGGAAGUCAGAAAAUGGAGCAGCCGAAUGUUAAGAGCUGGCUCUGCUCUAUUCCCACUUUGGCUAUGUUAUGGAAUCCUAUCAGAGAAACCACGUUCUGAAAACCACGAAGAAUUCGACUUCUAAUAUGGGAAGAAAACUGACACUAAAAAACAAUGGCUGCUGCUUAUUCCCUCUGACCAAAUGUUAAUUCUUCUGGGCCAGGAAAGAGAGCAGGUAAAUAACAGCUAGACUUGUAGAGACUGCAAAGGAUUUUCCUCUUCGACCCCUCGCUGCAUACCACUCAAGAUGUCACAUUUCAGACUGUAAAUCAGCUUACGGUGUGGACAAACGAUAUCACUGCAAAACAUCGGUGCAGGAUCACCUAACCUCCUCCGUGCACACGGAGUAAUAGGAAAGAGUGGUCAUGGGCUAUUCUGGGAGAAGUGUACUCAGCGGAUGGACACACAGAGGAUAUUCAGGCAGCCACUGAGGAGCAGAACAACAGUAAUGAAUAUUAUUAAAGGCAGGUGUGGAUGAAAUUAGCCUAGCCCUGUAGGGGAACUAUCAAAUUAAACCCAGAAAAAUGUUGGUCCGUACACAACAUCAAUCUUGUGC
rnacentral:lncRNA from 1 species